UGUAGACAAUAAGGAUUCUCUCAUAUAAUUCCUGUGAUACGGACGGGAAGUUUCUACGAGGCGGCCAUUAACUGCCUGGCUAUGGGUGUUUUCAGCAUACGG
rnacentral:ncRNA from 2 species